rnacentral:tRNA from 1 species
GCCACCUUAGCUCAGCUGGUAGAGCAGCACUUUCGUAAAGUGAAGGUCCCGAGUUCGAAUCUCGGAGGUGGCU